AUAUUAAUAAAAUCCUAAAUCCUAGUAAAAUUCUAAACCAAAUCCUAUGCAAAUCCUAAUCAAAUUCUAAAUUUUAAACAAACUCUUAACAAAUCCUAUAGCAGAUUUAAACUUCAAUAAUUAAUGAUUGAACCAUUGAUAUUAACUCAAUUUUUUAUACUUUUCAAUAACUUAGUUAAAAACAAGCACAAAAAAGAUGAAAUUGAUCACACUUAUCAAUUGAAAGAAAUGCAAGAUAAUCCAAUUGGGUAUCCGAUGGCCUC
rnacentral:lncRNA from 1 species